UCAUAUUCAUUGUGUCUGUAGGUGUGGUAUCAUAUGUCUGUAGGUGUGGUAUCAUAUGUCUGUAGGUGUGGUAUCAAUAUGUCAUUGUGUCUGUAGGGUGUGGUAUCAUACGUCAUUGUGUCUGUAGGUGUGGUAUCAUACGUCAUUGUGUCUGUAGGUGUGGUAUCAUAUGUCUGUAGGUGUGGUAUCAUAUGUCAUUGUGUCUGUAGGUGUGGUAUCAUAUGGCAUUGUGUCUGUAGGUGUGGUAUCAUACGUCAUUGUGU